UACGUAGGGGGCAAGCGUUGUCCGGAAUCAUUGGGCGUAAAGAGCGCGUAGGCGGCCCUGUAAGUCCGCUGUGAAAGUCAAGGGCUCAACCCUUGAAUGCCGGUGGAUACUGCAGGGCUAGAGUCCGGAAGAGGCGAGUGGAAUUCCUGGUGUAGCGGUGAAAUGCGCAGAUAUCAGGAGGAACACCAAUAGCGAAGGCAGCUCGCUGGGACGUUACUGACACUGAGGCGCGAAAGCGUGGGGAGCGAACAGG
rnacentral:rRNA from 1 species